rnacentral:rRNA from 1 species
ACUCAAAUGAAUUGACGGGGACCUGCACAAGCGGUGGAGCAUGUGGUUUAAUUCGACAAUAAGCGGGGAACCUUACCAAGGCUUGACAUGUAGCUGCACGCUCUAGAAAUAGAGUUCCUUCGAGGGUGCUACACAGGUGCUGCACGGUUGUCGUCAGCUCGUGCCGUGAGGUGUUCACUUAAGUGUGAAAACGAGCGCAACCCCUAUCGCCAGUUACAAGUGUCUGGUGAAACUGCCGGCGUCUAAGCCGGAGGAAGGCGGGGAUGACGUCAAAUCAGCGUGGCUCUUACGCCUUGGGCGACACACGUGCUACAAUGGGAAAGAACAAAGGGACGCCAAAUCGUAAGAUGGAGCAAAUCCUAACAAAAUUUCCCUCAGUUCGGAUCGAGGGCUGCAACUCGCCCUCGUGAAGCUGGAAUCGCUAGUAACCGUAGAUCAGCCUCGCUACGGUGAAUACGUUCUCAGGUUUUGUACACACCGCCCGU